UACGUAGGGGCCUAGCGUUGUCCGGAUUUAUUGGGCGUAAAGAGCUCGUAGGCGGUUCGGUAAGUCAGGUGUGAAAUCUCCACGCUCAACGUGGAGGCGCCACCUGAAACUGCCGUGACUCGAGUCCGGUAGGGGAGUGUGGAAUUCCCGGUGUAGCGGUGAAAUGCGCAGAUAUCAGGAGGAAUACCGAUGGCGAAGGCAGGUCUCUGGGCUGACACUGACGCUCAUGCACGAAAGCGUGGGGAGCAAACAGG
rnacentral:rRNA from 1 species